AGUUUCCGCCGCGUUUAUGGCCGCGUUAAGUCUGAGUGCCGCUUUGAGUUGUUGAAUGAAGUGAACUUCAUUUGUCAGCGUUCGGUACGCAGUCUAGGCAGCGCCCUUCCUGUACCUCUCUUCCUUUCCUGAGUCGUUGGCGCAGCUGACUCGCCACCUCCUCCCUCCUCGUCCCCCCACCGGAGGAGUUUUGCGGUCUGUAGAGAGCUAUGCAGGGUUCAUGAACUGGAAUGUAAGAGGCACCAGAGGAUUCCUGCUCUGUCCCCUGGUUUGCGGCUUGCGACGUUGGACAUCCCCGGAUUGUUGUUUAAUAGAGAAAACUCACCUGCCUUCUUGCUUUUAAGUAGCCCCAAAAGCAGAACCUUGAUUUGUCUGUAAGGAAGAAACACAAACCUUUUAAAAAGUUCCACUUCGACUCUGCACCGCCGACCCCCAAUCUCUUUAAUUUUGCCAUAGAAGAGGGGUUUUUUCAACAUCUCUCUCACUAUCUGGUGCUGAUCUCACUGCAUAAUGACUUUCUAUUUGUUUGGUAUUCGAAGCUUUCCGAAGCUUUGGAAGAGCCCAUACCUUGGGCUAGGCCCAGGGCACUCUUAUGUCUCGCUGUUUCUGGCAGACCGCUGUGGCAUCAGGAACCAGCAGAGGUUGUUUUCUCUUAAAACAAUGUCUCCACAGAAUACCAAAGCAACGAAUCUGAUUGCCAAGGCCAGAUAUCUCAGGAAAGAUGAGGGCAGUAAUAAGCAAGUUUAUUCUGUUCCUCAUUUUUUUUUAGCUGGAGCAGCUAAGGAGAGAUCACAGAUGAAUUCUCAAACUGAAGAUCAUGCCUUGGCACCUGUGAGGAACACUAUUCAACUCCCAACACAACCUUUGAAUUCAGAGGAGUGGGAUAAACUUAAGGAAGAUUUAAAAGAAAACACCGGAAAGACCAGUUUCGAAAGUUGGAUCAUUUCACAGAUGGCUGGCUGUCAUAGCUCUAUAGAUGUGGCUAAAUCUCUGCUGGCAUGGGUAGCAGCCAAAAAUAAUGGUAUUGUAAGUUACGAUUUACUGGUCAAGUAUUUGUAUCUCUGUGUCUUUCAUAUGCAGACAUCUGAAGUUAUUGAUGUCUUUGAAAUUAUGAAAGCCAGAUAUAAGACUUUAGAACCUAGAGGUUACAGUCUUCUCAUCCGGGGAUUGAUCCAUUCAGACAGAUGGAGAGAAGCAUUGUUGCUGUUAGAGGACAUCAAAAAAGUUAUAACUCCUUCAAAAAAGAACUAUAAUGACUGUAUCCAGGGAGCUCUCCUUCAUCAAGAUGUAAACACAGCUUGGAAUUUAUAUCAGGAAUUGCUAGGUCAUGAUAUUGUUCCUAUGUUGGAAACUUUAAAAGCUUUCUUUGAUUUUGGAAAAGACAUAAAGGAUGAUAACUAUUCAAAUAAACUACUAGAUAUUCUUUCAUAUCUAAGAAAUAAUCAGCUGUAUCCAGGGGAGUCAUUUGCACACAGUAUAAAAACAUGGUUUGAGAGUGUUCCUGGAAAACAAUGGAAAGGACAAUUCACCACAGUCCGAAAAAGUGGCCAGUGUUCGGGCUGUGGAAAAACCAUAGAGUCUAUUCAGCUGAGUCCAGAAGAAUAUGAAUGUCUUAAGGGAAAAAUCAUGAGGGAUGUGAUAGAUGGAGGUGACCAGUACAGAAAGACAACACCUCAGGAACUUAAGAGAUUUGAGAACUUCAUAAAAUCUCGUCCUCCUUUUGAUGUUGUCAUUGAUGGUCUCAAUGUUGCCAAAAUGUUUCCUAAAGUUCGUGAAUCUCAACUUCUCUUGAAUGUCGUCUCUCAACUAGCCAAACGGAAUCUGCGACUGCUGGUCCUAGGCCGGAAGCACAUGCUAAGACGGAGUUCCCAGUGGAGUCGGGAUGAGAUGGAAGAGGUGCAAAAGCAAGCCAGCUGUUUUUUUGCUGAUGACAUCUCGGAGGAUGAUCCAUUCCUUCUGUAUGCCACACUGCACUCCGGGAAUCACUGCAGGUUUAUCACAAGAGACCUGAUGCGGGACCACAAGGCCUGUCUGCCUGAUGCCAAGACCCAACGCCUGUUUUUUAAGUGGCAGCAGGGACAUCAGCUGGCAAUUGUAAAUAGGUUUCCAGGAUCAAAACUAACCUUUCAGCGUAUUCUCAGCUAUGACACAGUGGUGCAAACAACUGGAGACUCGUGGCACAUACCAUAUGAUGAAGACUUGGUAGAAAGAUGUUCCUGUGAAGUACCAACCAAAUGGCUUUGCCUCCACCAAAAGACAUAGAGAUUCUUACCUCUAUGCUAAGUUUGUGUUUGGGUACCCUCUAGGUUGGCAUCAGAGGCUCUUGAGCUGGUGUUUGUUUAGGGCAUUGCCUCUGUCCUGAAGAUAAAAGGAUUCUAUUAACAGCAUUGACAUUGAUUUUUUAAUGAAAUGAGAUAUAUCUUUUCAUAACCAGCUGCGUUUUUUUCCCCUAACAUUUGUUUUUGGAGGCUUAUCAAGAGUUGGAGAACUUAGUGUAGAGCAAAACCUGCAUUUCUCCUACUGGGCCAGCUAUUCCACUUAGCUUGGGUGACUAAUAGUGCUUUUGGUAUCCAUUUUUUGCUACUUCUGACCUUGCCUUCCAGGCCUACCAAUAGCAGAAUCAAUCCAUCUGUCCCUGAGAUACUCAUGUUGUUUCAAAUGCCUCCUCCCAUUUCUGGCAUAGUCUCAUUCUCUGUAUGUUAUGCCCUAUCCACAUGGAAUCAUUUAUCGUCCUCUGUAAUAAACUGGCCAAGAUACUAAAGGCUUACUAUUCAUAGCAGUUUUUAAUUACUUAUCAUCCAAUUAUUUGGAUUGGAGAAGAGGGGGCAUUCACUCCUCUUUUUCUUAUUUUUUUUGGAAAUAGAGUCUCAACUUACUCUGUCGCCAGGGCUGGAGUGCAGUGACGUGAUCACAGUUCACUGCAGCCUCAAACUCCCAGGCUCAAGCAAUCUUCCUACCUCAGCCCUCCUGAGUAAUUGGGACUACAGAACAGAGAAUGUCAGUAUCCAAUAGGAUGCCAGUGGAAUUCCCUGACGAUUCCAUCCAUGCGGCUCUGCUGGAGCAGGGUAGUGUCCUAGGCUGGGAGAAUGGGAUGGAGCCUCCACCUCAUGAAGUAGCUUCCUUUGGAGGUGGCUAUGGCAGGUCUUCGGAGAGAAUAUGCUUUUAAGGCUAUUAACCAGGGUGGCCUUACAUCAGUAGCUGUCAGAGGGAAAGACUGUGCAGUAAUUGUCACACAGAAGAAAGUACCUGACAAAUUAUUGGAUUCCAGCACAGUGACUCACUUAUUCAAGAUAACUGAAAACAUUGGUUGUGUGAUGACCGGAAUGACAGCUGACAGCAGAUCCCAGGUACAGAGGGCACGCUAUGAGGCAGCUAACUGGAAAUACAAGUAUGGCUAUGAGAUUCCUGUGGACAUGCUGUGUAAAAGAAUUGCCGAUAUUUCUCAGGUCUACACACAGAAUGCUGAAAUGAGGCCUCUUGGUUGUUGUAUGAUUUUAAUUGGUAUAGAUGAAGAGCAAGGCCCUCAGGUAUAUAAGUGUGAUCCUGCAGGUUACUACUGUGGGUUUAAAGCCACUGCAGCGGGAGUUAAACAAACUGAGUCAACCAGCUUCCUUGAAAAAAAAGUGAAGAAGAAAUUUGAUUGGACAUUUGAACAGACAGUGGAAACUGCAAUUACAUGCCUGUCUACUGUUCUAUCAAUUGAUUUCAAACCUUCAGAAAUAGAAGUUGGAGUAGUGACAGUUGAAAAUCCUAAAUUCAGGAUUCUUACAGAAGCAGAGAUUGAUGCUCACCUUGUUGCUCUAGCAGAGAGAGACUAAACAUUGUCGUUAGUUUACCAGAUCCGUGAUGCCACUUACCUGUGUGUUUGGUAACAACAAACCAACAUCAUGGAGGUCCCUGGAUUGAAAAAGGAGCCUCUCCCACUCCUCCUACCACCGAAGUGGUUAGGACUCUAUAUAAAUAAAAACAAGGCUUUUGGAAAA
rnacentral:lncRNA from 1 species